rnacentral:rRNA from 2 species
GGGACACGUGGUAUCCUGUCUGAAUAUGGGGGGACCAUCCUCCAAGGCUAAAUACUCCUGACUGACCGAUAGUGAACCAGUACCGUGAGGGAAAGGCGAAAAGAACCCCGGCGAGGGGAGUGAAAAAGAACCUGAAACCGUGUACGUACAAGCAGUGGGAGCACCUUCGGGUGUGACUGCGUACCUUUUGUAUAAUGGGUCAGCGACUUAUAUUCUGUAGCAAGGUUAACCGUAUAGGGGAGCCGCAGGGAAACCGAGUCUUAACUGGGCGUUAAGUUGCAGGGUAUAGACCCGAAACCCGGUGAUCUAGCCAUGGGCAGGUUGAAGGUUGGGUAACACUAACUGGAGGACCGAACCGACUAAUGUUGAAAAAUUAGCGGAUGACUUGUGGCUGGGGGUGAAAGGCCAAUCAAACCGGGAGAUAGCUGGUUCUCCCCGAAAGCUAUUUAGGUAGCGCCUCGUGAAUUCAUCUUCGGGGGUAGAGCACUGUUUCGGCUAGGGGGUCAUCCCGACUUACCAACCCGAUGCAAACUACGAAUACCGAAGAAUGUUAUCACGGGAGACACACGGCGGGUGCUAACGUCCGUCGUGAAGAGGGAAACAACCCAGACCGCCAGCUAAGGUCCCAAAGUCAUGGUUAAGUGGGAAACGAUGUGGGAAGGCACAGACAGCCAGGAUGUUGGCUUAGAAGCAGCCAUCAUUUAAAGAAAGCGUAAUAGCUCACUGGUCGAGUCGGCCUGCGCGGAAGAUGUAACGGGGCUAAACCAUGCACCGAAGCUGCGGCAGCGACACUAUGUGUUGUUGGGUAGGGGAGCGUUCUGUAAGCCUGCGAAGGUGUGCUGUGAGGCAUGCUGGAGGUAUCAGAAGUGCGAAUGCUGACAUAAGUAACGAUAAAGCGGGUGAAAAGCCCGCUCGCCGGAAGACCAAGGGUUCCUGUCCAACGUUAAUCGGGGCAGGGUGAGUCGACCCCUAAGGCGAGGCCGAAAGGCGUAGUCGAUGGGAAACAGGUUAAUAUUCCUGUACUUGGUGUUACUGCGAAGGGGGGACGGAGAAGGCUAUGUUAGCCGGGCGACGGUUGUCCCG